GACGAACGCUGGCGGCGUGCCUAAUACAUGCAAGUCGAGCGAUCUAUUUGGAGGCUGCUCCCAAAAGGUAGCGCCGGAAGCGUGAGUAUAACGUGUGGAAAAUGUCUCUAAGAGUGGGGGAAAUUAGGGGAACCCGAGUUCUAAUAGGACAUAAUAACUGUCAACAUAAGUUUCAAGUUAAAAAGAUGCUAUUGCAUCAAUUAACAGAUGUACCGCGGUGUAUUAGCUAGUUGGUGAGGUAAAGGCUCACCAAGGCGAUGAUACAUAGCCGACCUGAGAGGGUGAUCGGCCACAUUGGGACUGAGACACGGCCCAAACUCCUACGGGAGGCAGCAGUAGGGAAUCUUCGGCAAUGGACGAAAGUCUGACCGAGCAACGCCGCGUGAGUGAAGAAGGUUUUCGGAUCGUAAAACUCUGUUGGUAGAGAAGAACGUUGGUGGGAGGGGAAAGCCCAUAAAGUGACGGUACCUAACCAGAAAGGGACGGCUAACUACGUG
rnacentral:rRNA from 1 species